GCCUAGAUAGCUUAGAUAAAGCGUCAACUUGUGGCGUUGAAGAUGCCUCAAUUGAGGCUCUGGGCA
rnacentral:tRNA from 1 species